UAACACAUGCAAGUCGAGGGGCAGCAUGAACUUAGCUUGCUAAGUUUGAUGGCGACCGGCGCACGGGUGAGUAACACGUAUCCAACCUGCCGAUGACUCGGGGAUAGCCUUUCGAAAGAAAGAUUAACACCCGAUGGCAUAGUUCUUCCGCAUGGUAGAACUAUUAAAGAAUUUCGGUCAUCGAUGGGGAUGCGUUCCAUUAGGUUGUUGGCGGGGUAACGGCCCACCAAGCCUUCGAUGGAUAGGGGUUCUGAGAGGAAGGUCCCCCACAUUGGAACUGAGACACGGUCCAAACUCCUACGGGAGGCAGCAGUGAGGAAUAUUGGUCAAUGGGCGCGAGCCUGAACCAGCCAAGUAGCGUGAAGGAUGAAGGCUCUAUGGGUCGUAAACUUCUUUUAUAUGGGAAUAAAGUUUUCCACGUGUGGAAUUUUGUAUGUACCAUAUGAAUAAGGAUCGGCUAACUCCGUGCCAGCAGCCGCGGUAAUACGGAGGAUCCGAGCGUUAUCCGGAUUUAUUGGGUUUAAAGGGAGCGUAGGUGGAUUGUUAAGUCAGUUGUGAAAGUUUGCGGCUCAACCGUAAAAUUGCAGUUGAAACUGGCAGUCUUGAGUACAGUAGAGGUGGGCGGAAUUCGUGGUGUAGCGGUGAAAUGCUUAGAUAUCACGAAGAACUCCGAUUGCGAAGGCAGCUCACUAGACUGUCACUGACACUGAUGCUCGAAAGUGUGGGUAUCAAACAGGAUUAGAUACCCUGGUAGUCCACACAGUAAACGAUGAAUACUCGCUGUUUGCGAUAUACAGUAAGCGGCCAAGCGAAAGCAUUAAGUAUUCCACCUGGGGAGUACGCCGGCAACGGUGAAACUCAAAGGAAUUGACGGGGGCCCGCACAAGCGGAGGAACAUGUGGUUUAAUUCGAUGAUACGCGAGGAACCUUACCCGGGCUUAAAUUGCAACAGAAUAUAUUGGAAACAGUAUAGCCGUAAGGCUGUUGUGAAGGUGCUGCAUGGUUGUCGUCAGCUCGUGCCGUGAGGUGUCGGCUUAAGUGCCAUAACGAGCGCAACCCUUAUCUUUAGUUACUAACAGGUCAUGCUGAGGACUCUAGAGAGACUGCCGUCGUAAGAUGUGAGGAAGGUGGGGAUGACGUCAAAUCAGCACGGCCCUUACGUCCGGGGCUACACACGUGUUACAAUGGGGGGUACAGAAGGCGGCUACCUGGUGACAGGAUGCUAAUCCCAAAAACCUCUCUCAGUUCGGAUCGAAGUCUGCAACCCGACUUCGUGAAGCUGGAUUCGCUAGUAAUCGCGCAUCAGCCAUGGCGCGGUGAAUACGUUCCCGGGCCUUGUACACACCGCCCGUCAAGCCAUGAAAGCCGGGGGUACCUGAAGUACGUAACCGCAAGGAUCGGCCUAGGGUAAAACUGGUGACUGGGGCUAAGUCA
rnacentral:rRNA from 1 species